rnacentral:rRNA from 1 species
GGGCUGCAGUGGGGAAUUUUGGACAAUGGGGGCAACCCUGAUCCAGCCAUUCCGCGUGAGUGAAGAAGGCCUUCGGGUUGUAAAGCUCUUUCAGCCGGAAAGAAACGGUGCGCUCUAACAUAGCGUGCUAAUGACGGUACCGGCAGAAGAAGCACCGGCUAACUACGUGCCAGCAGCCGCGGUAAUACGUAGGGUGCGAGCGUUAAUCGGAAUUACUGGGCGUAAAGCGUGCGCAGGCGGAUUGUUAAGCAAGAUGUGAAAUCCCCGGGCUUAACCUGGGAAUGGCAUUUUGAACUGGCAGUCUAGAGUGUGUCAGAGGGGGGUGGAAUUCCACGUGUAGCAGUGAAAUGCGUAGAUAUGUGGAGGAACACCAAUGGCGAAGGCAGCCCCCUGGGAUAACACUGACGCUCAUGUACGAAAGCGUGGGUAGCAAACAGGAUUAGAUACCCCAGUAGUC